rnacentral:rRNA from 1 species
CCUACGGGAGGCAGCAGUGGGGAAUAUUGGACAAUGGGGGGAACCCUGAUCCAGCGACGCCGCGUGAGUGAAGAAGUAUUUCGGUAUGUAAAGCUCUAUCAGCAGGGAAGAAAGAAAUGACGGUACCUGACUAAGAAGCCCCGGCUAACUACGUGCCAGCAGCCGCGGUAAUACGUAGGGGGCAAGCGUUAGCCGGAUUUACUGGGUGUAAAGGGAGCGUAGACGGGGAUGCAAGUCUGAAGUGAAAGGCGGGGGCUCAACCCCUGGACUGCUUUGGAAACUGUAUGGCUGGAGUGCAGGAGAGGUAAGUGGAAUUCCUAGUGUAGCGGUGAAAUGCGUAGAUAUUAGGAGGAACACCAGUGGCGAAGGCGGCUUACUGGACUGUAACUGACGUUGAGGCUCGAAAGCGUGGGGAGCAAACAGGAUUAGAUACCCUAGUAGUC